ACGGAAGGCAGCAGUGGGGAAUAUUGCACAAUGGGCGAAAGCCUGAUGCAGCGACGCCGCGUGAGUGAAGAAGUAUCUCGGUAUGUAAAGCUCUAUCAGCAGGGAAGAGAAUGACGGUACCUGACUAAGAAGCCCCGGCUAACUACGUGCCAGCAGCCGCGGUAAUACGUAGGGGGCAAGCGUUAUCCGGAUUUACUGGGUGUAAAGGGAGCGUAGACGGUUUGGCAAGUCUGAAGUGAAAUGCGGGGGCUCAACUCCUGAACUGCUUUGGAAACUGUCGAACUAGAGUGCAGGAGAGGUAAGUGGAAUUCCUAGUGUAGCGGUGAAAUGCGUAGAUAUUAGGAGGAACACCAGUGGCGAAGGCGGCUUACUGGACUGUAACUGACGUUGAGGCUCGAAAGCGUGGGGAGCAAACAGGAUUAGAUACCCUGGUA
rnacentral:rRNA from 2 species